GACGAACGCUGGCGGCGUGCUUAACACAUGCAAGUCGAACGAGGGAAUUGAAAGCUUGCUUUUGAAACCCGAGUGGCAAACGGGUGAGUAACGCGUAGGCAACCUGCCGUUGAGAUGGGGACAACAUCCCGAAAGGGGUGCUAAUACCGAAUGUUGUGAGAGCUUCGCAUGGAGCUUUCACUAAAGAUGACCUCUCCUUGGAAGUUAUCGCUCAACGAUGGGCCUGCGUCUGAUUAGCUAGUUGGUGGGGUAACGGCCCACCAAGGCGACGAUCAGUAGCCGGUCUGAGAGGAUGAACGGCCACAUUGGGACUGAGACACGGCCCAAAUCCUACGGAGCAGCAGUCGGGAAUCUUCCGCAAU
rnacentral:rRNA from 1 species